rnacentral:lncRNA from 1 species
GUGGAAAGAGAGCAGGUAACUUUUUUUCUUUGUUUUUUAACCCCUUAAGGACACAUGACAUGUGUGGCAUGUCAUGAUUCCCUUUUAUUCCAGAAGUUUGGUCCUUAAGAAUUAAUAAUAUAUGCCAGAGUGAAGAAGAUAGACAGAUCUAUAAGAUUAGGCAGAAAGAGGCUAAGCAAGUUAUAAGAGCUUUCAAGUCACACACAGAAGAGAAAAUAGCCGAGUCGGUUAAAAAGGUGAGCAAAACAUUUUUUAGAUACAUAAAUCCGAAAAGGAAAGUAAAACAAGGAUUUGUUAGAUUAAAAACAAAAGAAGGAUAGUAUGUAGAAGAUGAUAAAGGCCUAGCUGACUGCCUCAGUGAAUAUUUUUGUUCAGUAUUUACAGAUGAAAAUGAAGGAAAUGGACCUCAGUUAUAAAAAAGGACAAAUUAGCCAUUUUCUCAGGUUCUAUUUCAACUUUCAAAAGUAUAGACAAAUAAGUCAAUGGGGCCUGAUGGAAUACACCCAAAUGUAUUAAAAGAACUUAGUGGUGUACUAGCAAAACCAUUAACGGAUUUAUUUAACCAAUCAUUGUUAACAGGAGCAGUUCCAGAAGAUUGGAAAUUAGAAAAUGUUGUGCCCAUUCACAAGAAAAGUAGUAGGCAUUUAUAGGCCAGUAAGCCUUACUUCUGUAGUGGGGAAAGUAAUGGAAACCAUGUUAAAGAAUAGGAUUGAGCAUUUAAAAUCACAGGAAUUUCAAGAUCAGAGACAACAUGGGUUUACUUCAGGGAGAUCAUGCCAAACUAAUCUUAUUGAUUUUUUUGAUUGGGUAACUAAAAUAAUAGAUCAGAGUGGUGCAGUAGACAUUGCUUGCCUAUAUUUCAGUAAGGCUUUUAAAACUGGUGCACGUAGAAGGCUUAUCAAUAAACUGCAAUCUUUAAGUUUGGAUUCCAAUAUUGUUAAAUGGGUUAGGCAGUGGCUGAGUGACAGGCAACAGAGGGUUGUAGUAUUGGAGUAUAUUCGAAGCAAGGUCUUGUUACCAGCGGGGUACCUCAGGGAUCUGUACUUGAACCCAUUCUCUUUAAUAUUUUUAUUAGUGAUAUUGCAGAAGGUCUUGAUGGUAAGGUAUAUCUUUUUGCUGAUGAUACAAACAUAUGGAACAGGGUCGAUGUUCCAGGAGUGAUAUGCCAAAUUACAAAUGAUUUAGGUAAACUAGAAAAAUGGUCAAAGUUGUAGCAACUGACAUUUAAUGUGUAUAAGUGCAAGAUAAUGCAUCCUGGAUGUAAAAACCCAAGGGCAGAGUAUAGAAUAUUUGAUACCCUACUAACCUCACCAUCUGAGGAAACGGAUUUAGGUGUAAUUAUUUCAGGUGACUUAAAGAUAGGCAGACAAUGUAAUAGCGCAGCAGGAAAUGCUAGCAGAAUGCUUGGUUGUAUAAGGGGGUAUUAGUAGUAGAGUGAGGGAAGUGCUCAUGCCAUUGUACAGAACACUGGUGAGACCUCACUUUGAGUAUUGUACGCAGUACUGGAGACCGUAUCUCCAGAAGGAUAUUGAUACUUUGGAGAAAGUUCAGAAAAGGGCUAGUAAACUGGUUCAUGGAUUACAGUAUAAAACUUACAAGGAAAGGUUAAAUGAUCUUAACAUGUAUAGCUUGGAGGAAAGACAAGACAGAGUGGGAUAUGAUAGAAACAUUCAAAUACAUAAAGGGAAUCAACACAGUAGGAAGAGACUAUAUUUAAAACAUGUGAAAAUUCCACAACAAGAGGACAUAGUCUUAAAUUAGAGGGGCAAAUGUUUAACAAUAAUAUCAGGAAGUAUUACUUUACUGAGAGGGUAGUGGAUGCAUGGAAUAGCCUUCCAGUUGAAGUGGUAGAGGUUAUCACAGUAAAGGAGUUUAGGAGAUAAAGAUAAAGGAGUUUAAGCAUACAUGGGAUAGAAAUAAGGCUAUCCUAACUAUAAGAUAAGGCCAGGGACUAAUGAAAGUAUUUAGAAAAUUGGGCAGACUGUCACAUUCUAUAUUUCAAUGUAUUUCAAUGUAUUGACGAUCCACUACCUUCAGAUGGAAGGGGUUUUCAAUCCCUUUCCCCCCUCACCAUAAUUUUCUUGGUUUGUGCUGUAUUCAUGUAUAUUUAUUUAUCAUUAAGGCUCUUAACAUGAUAUUUACCACAAAAUAUUAUCAAACCAUAUACAUAUGUAGCAAAAUAAUCACAGAAAUGGAGAAUAUGAAACGGUCUGUAUCUUUACAACUUAACCCAAAGAGACAAAUAUUUAACUCCCCAUGUACAACAACCACAUUUACAUUCUGCAUAUGAUACACCAAACAUGUAUGCAAUUUUAGGAAAGUACCAGCCAUGUGUGUGACCUUCACAUGGUGCUUCAUUUCAACAAAUGAUAAGAAAAAAAAACUCAGGUUAUCUUUCCAUGUGACUAAUUUGAAUUUCUUUAAUAUAUUUUUUGUAUUCUAUAUUGUUUGAAAAUGUUAUCUUAAAAUGUAUCGUUUUGAAAAAUGUGAAAAUUGUAUAGAAUGUAUUUGCUGACAGAAUGGACAAUAUGUAUUAAUGAAAAAUCCAAAAUGAUUAGCAUAGCGCACUUGCAUUUGCCUUAUUUUCUAUUAUAAUGAGAAUAUUACUUAGACUGCUUCUGACAUUUUGUUUGCAAAUAAAUUGAACUAAAAAAACUCAAACAUCCCUUAGAUACACAGAGCAUGUGCUUCCCCAUUUAUUCAGUACCAGACUUCCCACUAGGCAGAGUAGGCACCAACCUACAAAUGCAUGUUUGAUAAGGGUGCCACAAGUGCCUAUUCUCCUGGUUAAAGGAUGCUCUCCACGGCUGUCCACAGUGCAUUGCGGUCUUUCCAGAGUGUGUUCUCUGGGUAAGUCCCAGAGAUCUGUGAUCUCUGCAGUUCUGUGUAUUCCCUCAGACAUAACCCAGUGAUCUCUACAUGACAGUGCCCCUAAGACUUAACACAGCGAUCUCAUAUCGAAAGAGGACUAGAGCCAGAAUGAUCACCUUGCGUAAAGCUUGUCAGGUACAUACACAAUCAAUGCUACCCACAUGUUGAUGUUUACUGUCACUGCUACCCACAUACAUUGUGUCACGCACCUACACACACACUGAUACCAAUAAACAAACUAAUAAACUCGUUACGACCCUCACACAGCUACCUACUGCUUCACAUACAUAUACAUACACACUGCUAUGCAUACAGUUGCACACAUACUCUUAAGUGUGUGUAUACAGCAUUUUUUAACAAUUAUUUUUAACUAUCAAGUUUUUAUGUCAAGGUUUUUGUUUUGUUUUGUUUUUUAUUUGCCUUAAUAGGAAUACUUGAGAAUUCAGUGCUUAUCGGCACUUGUGAUGUAAUUCCGGCCCUGAAUAUAUUCCUUUUAAAAAAACGAAAACAAAUGCAAUGUAUAUGCCUAAAUAAUAGCUUUUGUACAGUUUGACAUUUAAAGCACAAUGACUACAUAUUUUCCCAGUCUAAGUUAAAGCUGUGAAUUAUUGCAGAUUAUUACAAUUCCUACAGUAACUUUGGUUGACUGACUGUUUUUGUUUGUUAUUGUGGACCAACCACUGCUGUUUAGAUGG